UCCCCUCCCCGUUUUCUCUCUCCUUCCUCCAGUUUUCUCCUUCGUCCCUCUUUGAUCUUCUUCCUCUAAUCCUCUUCCACCAAAUUUGAGCCGCUAAAUUCCUAACAAUUUCUAAUUGUCUCAAACCAUAUUCUUUUGAUUCUUCUACAAAGACACAACCCGAUUGUUCAACUUUGGAAUCGAAAGGAAUCUCAACAUUUGGUUCAAAAGGCUGAAUUGGGGCUGUUAUUUGAUCAUCCAGGGGAACAUUGUACGGUUUUGAAAGGGUUUUAAGGAACUUUCUGCGCGAGAAAGUUGGAUUCGAGUUCAAUUGGAGUGUUUAUCCGGUCCGCCGACCUAGCCCAGACUUCAUCGCAAGAACGUACCCUAUAUUUCUCGCUUUCAAAGAGGUUGAGAUGAUGGUGAUUAUGAUGAUAUGAAAUCGAAAAUGGUUCAGCAGAAAGUCGAAGAUAGACAGCAGCGCCGGGUCAGAUUUGUAUUAACUUCUUUAAAAGCCACAAAGUUGGGUUAUAAAUAAUCGAUUUAUUGGAAUUUAUUAGCUGAUUGAUUUGUUGGGUUCCUCUACUUUUCCUUCCAUUUUUGUAAUUGAUCUCAGUUUGGCGCAGUGGUUGACAUGGCGAUUGCGGUGAGGAAUCGUCGAAAAAGUUGGCACAACUCAUUCGAACUCGGUCUGGCGCGCACAGAGCUCUCAAGGGGAUUAGAUUUAUCAGCAAAACUCAAAUGGCACGUAAUUCUUCCAGCUGUUGUUGUUAAACUUCUCUGAAGGACCUGAUUGGUCUAUGAAUAUCGAGAUCUGUGAUAUGUUGAAUCAUGAUCCUGGGUAACUCAAUUUUGAUUUUGCUGUAGUUACUAUUUGAUUGUUUUAUGUUGUUAAUUAGAUUAUUUUGAAUGUUUAGAGCUAGGUUAAUAUUGAUUUUAGUUAAUAUAUUCAGUUCUCUCUCCUCCCUUUAAAGGUCAAUCAAAAUUCUCUAAUCUCUAUCUUGGGAAAUCCCCAAUUCGAUAAUUAGGUAUUUAAGAUACUCAAAAUUUAUGUUAUUUUGAGUAUUGCAGAGGUGUAUUUAAAAUAUAUCUAACCUGAGUUAUACUCAAAAUUUCUGUUAUUUUGAGUAUUAUAGAGGUGUAUUUAAGAUAUACCUCUGUAAAAUUAUUUUGAGCAUUGCAGAGGUGUAUUUAAGAUACUCUAAAUUUCAAAAUAGGUAUUUGGAAUAAUUAGUUUGAGAUUAUUGUCACGAGUUUAUGUUUGAAGCAAUCAAUCAUGAACUGAAAUCGGGAAAUGCUGUUACUUAAUUUGCUGAUUUUAGAAGUGAUGACAAUGUAUAGAAAAUAUAGGAGGAUUACUUUCUUGAAGUUGUAAAUGAUAGUCAUGUGUGGAUGAAUGUUAAACCAAAAUUACAAGGAUGUAGUAUGUGAUAUAUUGAUUAUUGGAUUGUUGUUUGUGACUCAAGCUAUCAGUAGUGUACUCAAUUCUAGGGAAAUUUUAGAACAUUACAGUGUCUGUAUGCAAAGAGUGGACAGUGAAACGUGCAGGGAGUUAGCAAAGAAUUGGUGAUAGAGAUGCUUUUAGAAUUGACAAGUGACGGGAAGCCACCAAAUUUCCUGUUGUGUAUAGGUGCAGGAGAUACUCUAGAGUCCAAAAGUGAAAGUGAGCAAAGAGUGGGCUCGGUUAAUCCCUUCAAUUGACUAUUAUUCUGGAGUAUCCUUUUGUCUGAAGUUUGGUACCAUUAAUUCUGUUCACGCUCAUUAUAAAUUCUCACAUGUUUUAAUCUGAAUUCAUUCUAAUUUGUGAUUAAUUGUAUUGAUACUCUGUUGAAUAUUGUAUAUUAUGCUAAACGUUAUGACCAUCCCUGGCUUUCUUGCAGCAUAUAUGUGUUGGAUUUAGUCAUUGGCGUUUAUUUUGUUUUUGUUAGUUAGGGGUUAGCAUUUGUUAGGUUGUUAGAUCUGUUAAAUUUGGAUUUUGGGCUGUUGUAGUUUUAAUUGAAUUUGAUAUCUUUUAUGUGGGACUUUUUGUUGUUAAUUGUGGUGAUAUCUUGAUUUUGAAUAGUUGGGUGUAAAAUGGAAUCUGCAUUUCGAAGCUAGGGGUUGAUUUUUGUACUAAUUGGUAUAUUUGGGGUAUUAUUGCUCUGGUUAUGCAGGGUUUAAGCUUUUGUUGUUUUUUUCAGAAAAAAUAAGCUACAUUGCAGUGGUAUGCUGGUCGGGAUGCUCUGCAAAUCUCAAACCUCCGGAACUAGACCCUUCCGUAUUUGAUUAUGAUGACGUGAAAUCGAAAAUGGUUCAGCCGAAAGCCAAAGAUAGACAGCAGCAGCGCAAGAUUGGAAGAAAAUGCUAGGGAUGGAUGAUUUAUGCAAUUGAAGAAAACAUAUCAUAUGCGAGAAUAAACUCUUGGAAGCAGAGAAAAUUUAUAUACCAAUAUUGUCAUAGGAAAUUUUUUGAACUUUAUAUACAUUUUUUCUUGCUUAUUAGUUGUGGUGAUUAAUUGUUAUAACAUAAUUUUAAUUUUUUUUAUUAUCUAAGAUUUAUAUAUAUACUCCCGCACGCAUCGCGUGCAUAUAAGACUA